rnacentral:lncRNA from 1 species
UCAUAACAGACCCCCCUUCUUAGGAAACCUUGUCCUCAAGAUUAUGAAAUCGCCUCCUUAUGGUGUCUAGGUCUUCUCAGGUAGCAUCUUCCUCGUUGGCCCCAGGCCAUUGUACCAAGACCUGAACUCCGGCAACGUUUUCCUUUCUUUUCAGCCUCUUUUGCAAGAUUCUCUCAGGUUCGAGUUCCAAGGAGCCUUCAGACGUGAUGAGCGAUAGGUGUGCACAAGCUUGUAUUCCUUCUCCUAGCUUUCUCUUGAGGCACAAAAUAUGAAACAAAGGAUAGAUCUUAGCUUCAGGAGGUAGAUCGAGCUCAUAUGCGACUUGACCCACCCUUCAAAUCACUCUAAAAGGCUGAAAAUAUCUCGGUACAAUCUUCAAGUUCCUUCGCAAUGCUACUGUCAUUUGUUGAUACAGCCGUAACUUGAGGUAAACCAAGUCUCCAAUUUCAAACUCUUAGUACCUCCUUGUUUUAUCAGCAAAAUAUUUCAUCUUUGAUUAGGCUUCCUGCAGGUUCUCCUUGAUGAGUUUAGCAAUAAACUCUCGUGUUCGAAGUUCUUUAUCAAUACCUUUCACUUUAGUGGAUCCUACCUCAUAUGGUAACAUUCGAGGUGGUAGCUGACCAUAAAUAGCUUCAAAAGGUGUUACCUUCAUGGAUGUAUGUACUGAGGUAUUAUAGGAAUACUCAGCUAAAGGUAACCACUUUGCCCAAUCUUUCGAUUUGUCACUUGAAAAACAUUGGAGGUAGCAUUCAAGCACUUUAUUCAUGGCCUUUGUUUGGCCAUCCGUUCGAGGAUGAUAGGCUGUGCUAAGUAAUAAAUCUAUUCCACAUAACCUUAAUAGUUCCUUCCAAAAAUUGCUUGUAAACACAGGAUCUCGAUCACUAAAAAUUGUUUGUGGUAGCCCGUGUAAUUUGAAAACAUUAUCCAUAAAAACUCUAGCCACCGUUAGUGCUGUGUAUGGAUGAUUAAUAGGCAUAAAAUGAGAAUACUUACUUAGCCUAUCCACCACCACAAGGGUCAUUGUCUUUUCUCCUGAGGGGGGUAGACCCUCAAUGAAAUCUAUGCUGAUAUCUUCCUAGUUUUUGCUAGGUAUCGGUAAAGGCUGAAGCAACCCCAUAGGGUGGAGGGCUUUUACUUUAUUCCUCUAGUAUACAUCACAUGCCUUGACAUGUGUUAUGACAUCAUUUUGCAAACCAGGCCAAUAAAAUUCCUUUUUUGUUAUUGUGUGGGUCUUUAAUACACUUGUGUGGCCCCCUAAUGGACUGACGUGGAACUAGUGCAGGAUUUGCUGCUGGAAGGGAACCAAUGAUCGAGAUGUAGUCUAUUCUCGUAAAAGAGUAACUCAUUUCAGAGUUGGUAAUGAGUUAGGUCCAAUUCUCCAUGAUGGUAGUGGCUUAUCAACUUCUGCAACAUGGGGUCCUGAAGGUAAGCCUUCUUCAACUCUUCUAUCCACUGAGCUUGUAAAAUGCUGAUGGCUUGGUUUUGGAUAAUUCGAUUUUUUUUGUGUGGUUUGGUUUGUGGUUGGGAUUAGUAUUUGGUCUCUGUUUGGGUCUUGGGGUUCUAAGUAUUGCACCCGAGAUAAGGCAUCAGCUGCUGCAUUACUCUUGCCACUUCUAUAUUCCACCAUGAAGUCAUACCCAAGCAAUUUAAAGACCUAUUUUUGUUGUGAGAGGGUCCCUACCCUUUGUUUCAGCAAGUAUUCGAGUGCCUUCUGGUCAGUAUGUACCUUGAAGGACUGUCCCAACAGGUAGUGUCUCUAUUUCCUCACUGCCAUCACUAGUGCCAAUAAUUCCUUUUCAUAAGUGGAAAGGUUCAGAUUCCACCCUUUUAAAGACUGG